UACGGGGGGGGGCAAGCGUUGUUCGGAAUUACUGGGCGUAAAGGGCUCGUAGGCGGCCAACUAAGUCGGAUGUGAAAUCCCCAGGCUUAACCUGGGAACUGCAUCCGAUACUGGAUGGCUUGAAUCCGGGAGAGGGAUGCGGAAUUCCAGGUGUAGCGGUGAAAUGCGUAGAUAUCUGGAGGAACACCGGUGGCGAAGGCGGCAUCCUGGACCGGCAUUGACGCUGAGGAGCGAAAGUGUGGGGAGCGAACAGG
rnacentral:rRNA from 1 species